GGAAUUUAGCUCAGUGGUAGAGCACUUGCCUAGCAAGCACAAGGCCCUGGGUUCAGUCCCCAGCUCCG
rfam:Rattus norvegicus chromosome 9, whole genome shotgun sequence.